UACGGAGGAUCCAAGCGUUUAUCCGGAAUCAUUGGGUUUAAAGGGUCCGUAGGCGGUUUUGUAAGUCAGUGGUGAAAGCCCAUCGCUCAACGGUGGAACGGCCAUUGAUACUGCAAGACUUGAAUUAUUAGGAAGUAACUAGAAUAUGUAGUGUAGCGGUGAAAUGCUUAGAGAUUACAUGGAAUACCAAUUGCGAAGGCAGGUUACUACUAAUAUAUUGACGCUGAUGGACGAAAGCGUGGGGAGCGAACAGG
rnacentral:rRNA from 1 species